GUUCAACCCAAAAAGAUUGAGGUCAAUGACGGAAGCAUGCGCACGUGAGGUGACCACGCCCCUCUUUCCAUGCCCUGAAGCAGCGCGGCAUUUUGUUCAUCUUCUGCCUGCAGCGAGCGACUUCAAUUUACUCUCGUUUUUCCAGUCUUACCAAGCUACCUUUGGCAACCUCUUAGUGAUUGAUUAUGAAUGUGGACGUGUAAGGAGUGCAGUUUGGAGUUAGCUACCAGUCUUUGCAGCAGUUGCUCUCCCAUGAAGACGUGUCUGAACAUCUCAAAAUUCAGAAUACGCAAGACCAGAUAUUAGCUAGUUUCCAAGAAUACAGAACUGCAAGAGAUGGUCAGUACUUUAAACAAAAUCAUUUUCUGUCCAGUGAAGGUUUGAGAAUAGCAUUAAAUCUUUACGUUGAUGAUUUUGAAAUUUGCAAUCCACUUGGCACGUCUCGGAAGAAGCACAAACUUUGCGCUGUCUAUUGGGUUUUGGGUAAUUUGCCACCAGGUUCCACCUCAAGACUCACUUCGAUCUAUUUAGCUCUUCUGUGCAAAUCGGAUGAUUUAAAAGUCUAUGGGUAUGACAAAGUGUUUGAGCCUCUCUUGCAAGAGUUGAAGACAUUAGAGCAGCACGGUGUUUUUCUUUCUCAGCUGGGCCAGUUUGUUAAAGGUUCUGUACAGUGUGUAAUAGCCGACAAUCUUGGAGCCCAUGGGAUAGCUGGAUUCGUUGAGAGUUUUUCUUGGGGGUCAGUCUGCAGGUUUUGUACAGGGGACAAAUCGGAAUUUCAGACUAAAGAUGUCAAGUCGGGUGCUUUUCAACUUCGAACCAGAGAUGUCCAUGAUGUUCAUGUCCAGUCAGCUCAGGAGAGUGAAACCAUCUGCCAUGGUGUCAAAAGACAGUGUGUUUUAACCAAGCACCUUUCACAUUUUCAUAUUAGCACUGGUUAUCCACCUGACGUUUUACAUGAUCUCUUUGAAGGUGUUGUGCCAGUGGAACUUGCUCGCUGUAUUUCUGUGUUGAUCUCCAAAAAAUAUUUUACUUUCAAUCACCUCAACACAUUGAUCCAGACAUUUCCGUACAAAUGGGGGGACAAAACGAAUCGCCCCCAUGCUAUACCACAGUCUUUCACUUCACGCAACAGUAUAGGUGGCAAUGCACACGAAAAUUGGAAUGUACUGAGACUGCUUCCAUUCAUUAUUGGACAAAUUGUGCCAGAAAAUGAGCCAGCAUGGCAGGUAAUUCUUCAUCUGAAGGACAUAGUUGAGUUGGUUGUGGCACCUGUUCACACGGAAGAGACAGUUGCAUAUUUAGAGGUCAAAAUCUUCGAUCACAGACAGCACUUUCUUGAACUCUUUCCACACGUUAAACUCCUUCCAAAACAUUACUACCUAGAGCACUAUCCUCAUAUGAUACGUUGCUUCGGACCUCUAAUUUCACUGUGGACGAUGAGAUUUGAGGCUAAACAUAGCUUCUUUAAACAAGUUGCCCGCCAUACAAACUGCUUUAAGAACAUACCUCGUUCACUAGCUAUUAAACACCAGUUCAUGCUCUCCUAUCACACUCAUUCCUCCAUUCUUAAGAGGUCCCCCUUGGAGGUCACAGAUGUUUCACAUAUACCCGUUGAUAUCCUUAAUGAGGGAGUUGUGUCUGUACUGAAGCAGAGAUACCCAGAUACGACUGAGAUUAAUGUGGCAAAGAAUGUGUCCUGCAGAGGUAUACAUUAUAGUGAGGGGAUGCAUAUUGUACAUGGAUCUGCAGAUGGACUGCCUGCAUUUCACAAGAUCAGUCAACUGUGCAUUCUUAAAGAGCAGUUGUGUUUUCUUGUAAAGGAAGAAUGUGCCUGGUAUAGGGAACAUUUUGGUGCAUUUGAACUUUCUGCUUCAACCACUACAGAGGUUGGCCUCAUUGAGCUUGGUAACGUGGAAGACCCAUAUCCCC
ensembl:lncRNA